UACGAAGGAUGCAAGCGUUAUCCGGAUUUAUUGGGUUUAAAGGGAGCGUAGGCGGUUCUGUAAGUCAGUGGUGAAAUACGGCAGCUCAACUGUCGAGGUGCCAUUGAUACUGCGGAACUUGAGUACUGAUGAGGUAGGCGGAAUUGUCGGUGUAGCGGUGAAAUGCUUAGAUAUCGUCAAGAACACCGAUAGCGAAGGCAGCUUACCAAGCAGUAACUGACGCUGAGGCACGAAAGUGCGGGGAUCAAACAGG
rnacentral:rRNA from 1 species